UUUGUAACACCCCGUUUUUCAAAGCAUAAAAAGGGGUAUUAUUUUUUUUUUUUUUAAAACAACACGCUUAAAUAAAAUGGCGCGCGUGAACGCCCGCAGCUAUCUCGGCAAUUCGUCAUUCAAUAGAAAAAAUAAAUAUAACAUCAACACAUUAUAUUACAGGGCUUCCUCGAAGCAAAGUGUGUACCUGAAUAAUUUACAUACAGCGGAUACAUUAAGUUCAUCAACCAAAAGACACGAGUUAUGAACCGAAUAUAUCACAAGGCCAAAAGGCACUGAACAUGUCUGAGUAUAAAUGUAUAAGACAUAUAGUCAUCCAAAAAACAACUAGGCCCUAAGCCUAACCAAAAAUGUAGCCUAACAAGCGCUACUCUCUACACUCCGGGAUAGUUCACGAAGUCCUCGCCAUCCAUAUGACCCACAGUCUCGCUAGGCUCUCCGUCAUCUAAGGUGGGGGAUAACCCGUUCAUUUAUCACAUACAAAGCAAGGGUCACCAACUGGAAACAAGUAUAAAAAUACCAAAUACACAUACCAAAUGCCAUGUACCAAAACGGAAAGCGAGUAAACGUCAAACAUAUUCUCA
rnacentral:lncRNA from 1 species